CAGUUCGGGGGAUGAUGUACUAUCAGAAAGCCCUAAAGUUGCAGGCAUUUCUUGACAUGGCUGCAGAUGAUGGUAUCUG